rnacentral:rRNA from 1 species
CCUACGGGGGGCAGCAGUGAGGAAUAUUGGUCAAUGGACGAGAGUCUGAACCAGCCAAGUAGCGUGAAGGAUGACUGCCCUAUGGGUUGUAAACUUCUUUUAUAUGGGAAUAAAAUGUUCCACGUGUGGGAUUUUGUAUGUACCAUAUGAAGAAGGAUCGGCUAACUCCGUGCCAGCAGCCGCGGUAAUACGGAGGAUCCGAGCGUUAUCCGGAUUUAUUGGGUUUAAAGGGAGCGUAGGUGGAUUGUUAAGUCAGUUGUGAAAGUUUGCGGCUCAACCGUAAAAUUGCAGUUGAAACUGGCAGUCUUGAGUACAGUAGAGGUGGGCGGAAUUCGUGGUGUAGCGGUGAAAUGCUUAGAUAUCACGAAGAACUCCGAUUGCGAAGGCAGUUCACUGGACUGCAACUGACACUGAGGCUCGAAAGUGUGGGUAUCAAACAGGAUUAGAUACCCUUGUAGUC